rnacentral:rRNA from 1 species
AUUGAACGCUGGCGGCAGGCCUAACACAUGCAUGUCGAGCGGCAGCGGAAGGAAGCUUGCUUUCUUGCCGGCGAGCGGCGGACGGGUGAGUAAGGUAUGGGGAUCUGGCCGAAGGCGGGGGAUAACCACUGGAAACGGUGGCUAAUACCGCAUAAUCUCUAAGGUGCAAAGUGGGGGACCGUUCAGGCCUCACACCUUCGGAUGAACCCAUAUGAGAUUAGCUAGUAGGUGGGGUAAUGGCUCACCUAGGCGACGAUCUCUAGCUGGUCUGAGAGGAUGAUCAGCCACACUGGGACUGAGACACGGCCCAGACUCCUACGGGAGGCAGCAGUGGGGAAUAUUGCACAAUGGGCGCAAGCCUGAUGCAGCCAUGCCGCGUGUAUGAAGAAGGCCUUCGGGUUGUAAAGUACUUUCAGUCGUGAGGAAGGUGUUAAGGUUAAUAACCUUAGCAAUUGACGUUAGCGACAGAAGAAGCACCGGCUAACUCCGUGCCAGCCGCCGCAGUAA